rnacentral:lncRNA from 1 species
AACAGUGUGUGGAACGUUGGCGACCUCGGCGCUCGAGCUGCACUCCGCUGGGCUCUUGGCAGCACCCUGUGCUCUGAGGGUGUCUUGCCCGCCGGGCGCCGUGGCUCACGCCUGUAAUCCCAACACUUUGGGAGGCUGAGGCGGGCGGAUCACUUGAGGUCAAGAGUUCAAGACCAGCCUGGCCAACAUGGUGAAAGCCCAUCUCUACUAAAAAUACAAAAAUUAGCCAGAUUCUACUCUAAAAGUCACCAGGAAAAAUUCAGCUCCACUGGUCCUGGCUCUAAGUCUACUAGCAAAAUCUUCCAGAGAAGUGGAAAAGCCAUCAGCCAAUGUGUUAGACUAUCAUUUCCAUGACCUUACACCUAUCAAAAAGGCACUAUUACCAGGCUUAUAGAAUUCUAAAAAAGUUGGAAACCAUUUUCCAUUAUAAAAGAAAUUCUUCCAAAUCACACAAAACACUCUGACACUUCUCCAAUUCCCCCUAUCAUGGGGCUGGCAGCAGCCGCUUUGCGUCCUGAAUGUCAUGACAGUGAUGAUAACAGUAAUGAUGAUAACAGCAAUGAUGAAGUCUCACAUUUAAAAUUUUCAAGUCACUCAUCACAUCCCAAGUCACUCCCUUCAUUACCUUUUAUUUAUACUGGAGUCAUCCUGUGUGCCUCAGUCAGACCAUUUUGUAUGUACAAUGACCGACAAUGAGAUUUAACAUGCAGUUUGCAGAUCCUCCCUUCUCUGGGUCACCUGAAAAUAAGCCACAAACAAAG